rnacentral:rRNA from 1 species
GCUAUGAGCGUGGGCUCGGCUGGAGCUUCCGUCAGUGCAGAUCGUAAUGGUAGUAGCAAAUAUUCAAGUUCGAUCCUUGAAGACUGAAGUGGAGAAGGGUUCCACGUGAACAGUAGUUGGAUGUGGGUCAGUCGAUCCUAAGGUACUGGCGAACGCCUUGUAUCAUCGGUGGCGAAAAGCUUGCUUUUGGUCCCCGUUUGUCGAAAGGGAAUAGGGUUAAUAUUCCCUAACUGAGAUGCAAAGAUUGUGUUCUUCGGAGCACAAGCGCGGUAACGCAUUCGAACUUGGUUAGUCGCUCAAAGACCGAGCUAGAGUUUUCUUCUCUAGUUAAGGAACGGACUCCCUGGAAUUGGUUCAGCCAGAGAUGGGGACGUUGUUUCCGAAAAGCACCGCGGUUUCUGUGGUGUCUCGUGCUCUUUGAACGGCCCUUAAAACACCAAGGGAGGCUAUUAAUUUGCACUCAAUCGUACCGAUAUCCGCAUUAGGUCUCCAAGGUGAACAGCCUCUAGUCGAUAGAAUAAUGUAGGUAAGGGAAGUCGGCAAACUAGAUCCGUAACUUCGGGAAAAGGAUUGGCUCCAGUGGUUGGAACGAUUGGCCAGUUGGUUGAUGCUUGUCCGGCGCUAUUCUGUCUGCUUGAUGCUUUCGGGCUGAUGGCGGACUAGUGAUAGUGCUUGCUUGUGGACGCUUUCUGGUGUGUGCUAGGACCUCGGUUCUAGUAUCCUGAUCGCUCAUCUAAACAACCGUACUGGAACCGGUACGGACUCAGGGAAUCCGACUGUCUAAUUAAAACAGAGGUGACAGAUGGUCCUUGCGGACGCUGACUGUCACUGAUUUCUGCCCAGUGCUCUGAAUGUUAAAUCGUAGUAAUUCGAGUAAGCGCGGGUAAACAGCGGGAGUAACUAUGACUCUCUUAAGGUAGCCAAAUGCCUCGUCAUUUAAUUGUUGACGCGCAUGAAUGGAUUAACGAGAUUCCUACUGUCCCUAACUACUAUCUAGCGAAACCACAGCCAAGGGAACGGGCUUGGCAAAAAUAGCGGGGAAAGAAGACCCUGUUGAGCUUGACUCUAGUUUGACAUUGUGAAGAGUCAUGAGAGGUGUAGCAUAGGUGGGAGACUUCGGUCGCCGGUGAAAUACCACCACUUUCAUCGACUCUUUACUUAUUCGGUUAAAAGAGAAUUGGCUUCACGGCCUUUUUUCGAAGCAUUAAGCGGAGCCAUUUUAUGGCACCGUGACUCUCCUCGAAGACAGUGUCAAGCGGGGAGUUUGACUGGGGCGGUACAUCUAUCAAAUCGUAACGUAGGUGUCCUAAGGCGAGCUCAGAGAGGACGGAAACCUCUCGUAGAGCAAAAGGGCAAAAGCUUGCUUGAUCUUGACUUUCAGUACGAGUACAGACCGCGAAAGCGUGGCCUAUCGAUCCUUUUAAUCCUGAUUGUUUCAGGUAAGAGGUGUCAGAAAAGUUACCACAGGGAUAACUGGCUUGUGGCAGCCAAGCGUCCAUAGCGACGUUGCUUUUUGAUCCUUCGAUGUCGGCUCUUCCUAUCAUUGCGAAGCAGAAUUCGCCAAGCGUUGGAUUGUUCACCCACUAAUAGGGAACGUGAGCUGGGUUUAGACCGUCGUGAGACAGGUUAGUUUUACCCUACUGUUGACUUGUUAUUGCGAAAGUAAUCCUGCUUAGUACGAGAGGAACAGCGGGUUCAAACAUUUGGUUCAUAGACUUGAUCGACAGAUCAAUGGUCUGAAGCUACCAUUUGAGAGAUUAUAACUGAACGCCUCUAAGUUAGAAUCUCGCCUUGUCAAGGCGAAAAUUUCUUGCUUCCCGGUGUCGGGAGGCAUCUCUAUCUCGUGGCAACACGAGAGCUUAUGCCCUAUGUAUGGCCUUGGCUUCGUAGUGAACUCUGCGAAGCUUGCCAACGCCAGAUCACUCUGGUUCAAUGUCGGGGCGCUAAAUCACUUGCAUACGACUUGGUCUCUUGGUCAAGGUGUUGUAUUCAGUAGAGCAGUCCUCUUAUACUGCGAUCUGUUGAGACUAUCCUUUGAUUGAGUUUUUUGUUUCU